rnacentral:rRNA from 1 species
GACAGAGGGUGCAAACGUUUGUUCGGAAUUACUGGGCGUAAAGCGCGUGUAGGCGGCAGCGCAAGUCGGAUGUGAAAUCCCAUGGCUCAACCAUGGAAGUGCACCCGAAACUGCGUCGCUAGAGUCCUGGGAGAGGAAGGUGGAAUGCUUGGUGUAGAGGUGAAAUUCGUAGAUAUCAAGCGGAACACCGGUGGCGAAGGCGGCCUUCUGGACAGUGACUGACGCUGAGACGCGAAAGCGUGGGGAGCAAACAGG